rnacentral:rRNA from 1 species
GUCACCCCUCUCUCUGUCUCACUGGUUUUCUCCACUCCCCCCAACCUUCAUGUCACCCCCCUACUCCUUGACCAAAAAUCCAUCCCCUUUCCACUUCUGGAGGCGUCGGCGAUGGCAUUCAAGCAGGUUUUCUGCGCCCUGCGAGAGGUCUUCCCGCAGGUUGAUCUUCGAAUAUUGAAGGCUGUAGCCAGUCAGUAUUCCUCUGAUGUCGAUGCAGCUGUUGGAUUUGUUCUUUCUGAUGUCAUUCCAGCAGUAAGCGAACCUACUGAAACAGUUUUUACACUCCAAGAUAUUGAUUAUGCAGAACACGACCAUACUGAUUCCAGGAAGUCUAACUUGCACUUUGGAGGGAUAUCAUUGGUGGAUCUAGUAGGAGCUAAAGAGGAUGCCAGUGCCCUAUUCGGUACGUCAGCUGAGAGCAGUGGCACUGUUGGUGAAUGUGAUCCAUUUUCAGAUUAUGAUGGACCAUUCCAGAGUAACAACAAAGUAGAAAAAUGUUCCCAGAUCGAGGAUAAGGUGGUGAUAAAUGAAACAAGAAUUCCUACAACAGUAAUGAACAGCCUUCUCCAGGAGCAUUAUGCUCUGCUUGGAUCGUCAUCGACAUCUGCAACGGAGCCACAUAUGAUAGAGUAUGAGCAGUCUGAUUCAGGAGGAUGUAAUGAUCAUUGUGCAGCUGAAAAAGAUGAAGUGACUCCAGAGACUGAAAUAGGCAACCACAAGCAUUAUAAUGAUAAUUAUGAGCUAUCAGAUUUGCUUGCCUCUUCUGGGAAUAUGUUGCCAUUAUUUAUGGAGAGCCCUUCAGAUUGUGCAGUGAAACAUGGAGGGCAAGUGCCUCUGAAACUUUCUCAUGAGGCAAGUAAACAUGAUUUCGCCAAGUCAGGAGAUAACUGUUACUUGGAAACCUUACUUGCGAAUUUUCACUCAAAGGAAGACAAACAGACAUCAAAGAACUUGCCAAAUGCUCCAACUGUUCAUACGCUCUCCAACCCAAAGGAUAAGAAUGACUUACAAGUUCUGUUUGAAAACAAAGAUAAUGCUGGAGAAGAGUUGGGUGCACUCUGUACUGCAGAAAAUACCCCUGAACUCCACAAGUCAGCAAAUGAUGGCAACUUCUACAAUUUAUUUGGCGAUCUAUGCACAGUUGACGAGACAACAAAAGUACCUUUGAAUUUUACUGAGGAGAAAAAUGAGCAGCCUUUUGUUAAGCUAGACGAUCAACACAAACUAUUUGAGUUAUUUGCCUCAUCCAAAAUCGUCGAUAAUUCAUUACAAGCCUUUCAAGAAAAGGGUGGUUCCGAGACAGUUCAUAAUGAGGAGCUACCUUCAAUACAUCUCAAUUUCAAUCAUCGUGGAACAUUUACUAGUACGUGCAAUUUCGAUGGUGAUAAGCACUACUCCUUAUGCCCGAUGGUUGAGCUUGAUGCAGAUCAGCCUAAUGAAGAAUGGAUGAUGCCUGGUGCAGAUAAAAGUGAGGGAUUUCUCGAUAACUCCACUCAGUCAUUUCAUAUCACUGAAAUAAACAAGAAUAUUUCUGAUAUCACUAAAAGCAAGGAAUUAUUGAGCUGUUUGUAUGAAUCAACAAUCAUGAAGAUGGAAGAGGUUGAGCUUCAGGAGGAAAAGUCUCGACUAGCAAAACAAAAUGCUGACAAGGCACAUCAAAAUUUUCUUGCCAUGGCAGAGCACUUUAAUCAGCUCAUUGAGAAUUCCAAAGAGUCAAAUGAUAAGCAAGCUCAAGUAGUGUGCGAAGAAAAUUGUUCGUUGGUGGCUCUAACUCAGGACCUUCAGUCUAAGCUUACCAAAUUGGCUGCUCAAAGAAAUGAAGCGCUUACAGCUGUUCAGGAGAUUAAAUUUCAAUUAGAUGCACGUCUAGCAACUUCGAUGGAGGAAGAGGCUACAGCAAUGGAGCAAAUUAUCCAAGAAGAUAAAUUAGCUCUAUUGGUACGUAAAGAGAAGGAAGCUACAAUGGGGAGCAUAAUGGAGGAGUCAAGAAAGCUCCAAAAGGAAGCCGAAGAGAACAUUUUGCUGAGAGAACAAUUGUUGGACCGGGGUCACAUCAUUGAUAUCAUGCAAGGAGAAAUAUCAAGCAUCCACGCCCGUGUAAGCAAGCUUAAAUCAGCCUUGGUGACAACUAGCAGCUCAACUAAUUCUUCCGACAAGGAUGACUGUAAGAGUGCGUCAGUUGACACAGACCGGCCUUUGGGGAACGAUGAUAACAGAAAUGAUCUGCCGCAGAGGAGCCAUGCUAAGGACCAUACCACAUCUUCGGAUGAUGACGACGAUGACGACGAAUGGGAGGUGCUAGAAGCAAAUUAAGCCUAGAGUGGUUCAGUUCACUGUUCAAAUAUGUCUUGGUCAAUAAGAGGGCAGCAUCUUGGCUCACCCAAAAUUUAUGUGCCAAGCAGCAGAAUGUAGCCCCAAACUGGUACUGUUGGAAGACUGAACCUCCAAACUAUGCAGGUGUUUGGCUCUUGUGCUUUGUAAAUAUACAGAUAUGGAGAUGGACAUAUAUCAGUAUCUACUGUUGUAAUUAAACUUGGUUGUAAUCUAUCUGUCAUGUAGGAAAUUAUGUGCCUAUGUUUGUACAGAAUCAAGUGUAUACAUCAUAUAUAUUGGCAAAGAGUGUGAUUCCAAUGUAUGCAUGUUACCUUUUC